rnacentral:lncRNA from 1 species
CAAAUACUCACCAAGGAAAAAUAUUUACUAACAUAAUAUUUAUGUUAGUAAAGCUGCUUUAUCUAAAAUAUUGAAAAAAAUAUACAGAAGCUGUACUUUAGAAGUAGAUUAGUAAGAUUUAUUUUAAUUUUUUCAAAGUUUAAAUGAGGUUAUUUCUAGGUUAUAAGACCAUCCUCAUUUUUUUUAGGGCAUCAAAAAAGAUCAACCUUAAAAAAAAAGAAUAUUGAACAUGAAGAGACUCUGCCCACUGUGAUUGCUACAACUAGAAAACCUGUCUAUAAAGUGCCAUAUACAACUGCCUGAAAAUCUCCACCCCACCCAUACUUUUGAAAAUAAAUUAAUUCUGGGCAAAAUAAAUAAUGUGAGCAAACUUAUGGAGACAGCAAUGAAAUUGCAGGAGUGGAAGCCUUAUGAAAAUAACAUUGCCUUGAGUGAAUGGUGUUUAUUGAACAAUACUGAGAAAGACCCUGAAUUAACAGGGUAGGCCCAAAUCAUGGAGGACCUUGAUCGGCAGCAGUAAAAAAUGUACAACUUAUAUGGCAAGAAGAAAUCAUGAACUGAGCAUAAAAUAUCAAUCAAGAGAAGAUAAAUGGAGUGAUUCUUCACUAAUUACUGAUUAUUGUCUGAAACUGAGAAAGAUCCAAGAGAACUCUUCUUUACCAUCUGGAACACAUUUGAAACUCUUUAAGAUCAUAGCCACUGUUGCUGAUGUUAAGAAAGGAGCUGUCUGCCGAAAUUCUACCUUGCUUCAAUUCAUUCAUGUCCCUGUAAUGCCUUCUGGUGUGGUAUAAAAGCAAUUAAAUGAAAUCUUUCCUCCACAUGCUUUGAUAAUGUCUUAAUUAUUUGUGUCAACUAUUUGCAAAUCUAUUCUUUAUGAUACUAUGUAGAAAAAAGUCACUUCCAUACCUUUGUUACACUUCCAGAUAGAGGAAAUGAAUUAAGAAAAAAAUCUUGCUGUAGUUUUUUAUAUUAAUCUGAAAAUUCAUUGAAGAGAUCAGAACAAAGUCUUUAUAUAAUAUUUAUUAAACUUAGUAAGACUACAAAUCAUACUGUUAGCUUUUAACUGAACUAAAAAAGAUAUUAUUUGUAAAUUCAAAGAAUUUAUUCUGUGUAGGAAUAUUAUUAGUAUCAAGUUUAAUUGGUAUUAAUUUUUAAAGGAAC